CCUACGGGAGGCAGCAGUAGGGAAUCUUCCACAAUGGGCGAAAGCCUGAUGGAGCAACGCCGCGUGAGUGAUGAAGGCCUUCGGGUUGUAAAACUCUGUCAUUCGGGACGAACCGGAGUCUGAGGAAAUGCAGACUCUCUGACGGUACCGGAGGAGGAAGCCCCGGCUAACUACGUGCCAGCAGCCGCGGUAAUACGUAGGGGGCAAGCGUUGUCCGGAUUCACUGGGCGUAAGGCGCGCGCAGGCGGUGAUGUAAGUCUGAGGUGAAAACCCGAAGCUCAACUUCGGGACUGCCUUGGAUACUGCGUCACUUGAGGAUAGGAGAGGCAAGGGGAAUUCCACGUGUAGCGGUGAAAUGCGUAGAGAUGUGGAGGAACACCUGUGGCGAAGGCGCCUUGCUGGCCUAUUUCUGACGCUGAGGCGCGAAAGCGUGGGGAGCAAACAGGAUUAGAUACCCUGGUAGUCCACGCUGUAAACGAUGAGUGCUAGGUGUAGGUGGGCUCAUACCCAUCUGUGCCGAAGCUAACGCAUUAAGCACUCCGCCUGGGGAAGUACGGUCGCGNGAGNGAACGACGAAGUAGAGUAGACGGACGNGAGGACGNGCGACGGACGACGACGAGGGGAGGUAGG
rnacentral:rRNA from 1 species